rnacentral:tRNA from 1 species
CGCUCUUAGUUCAGUUCGGUAGAACGUAGGUCUCCAAAAUCUAAUGUCGUAGGUUCAAAUCCUAAAGAAAUGA